GGGUGGCGGCCACGUGGUCAGGGAGCCGAGCGCUGGGGCGUAGGGGACCGCGGCUUGGAACUCGGCACGGCUGCAGGCCUGCUCAGGCUGCUUGCCUUCCUCCAUCGCCUUCUUUCGCUGUGCGCGGACCACACGGUGGGACUGUAGCGGCGAAAGCGACUGAGGUCUGGGCGCAGUUACCUGUAACCUCCUGGCGACCCUGACAAGAAGACGCGGGGACACAAGUAAGAAUGGAGGGUGCUCUUUCCCCCGCCCCACCCCGAAGGUAACAAAGGAUCAAGGUUUUCUCCGUGAAAUAGCUGCAGAAUGUAAACUGAGGCUGCUGGCACUUCCCUUAGAGUUUUACUGGCUCAGCUCAAGAACCACCUCCUCCAAGUUGUCUUCCUGGAUUUACUCAGCCUAAAGUAAUCCUUCUUUUUCCUAGACUGGACUGUGAACACCAAACCAGCUCUCCAACCUGACAGACAAUGCUUGUUUUAUCUAAAGAAAGGGGACAGGACAGGCAGCGCUCACCUGUUUGACAGGGACGACUACACCUCUUCACGGGAAUUCUCGGAUCCUUGAAACAACACUUUAAGGGCUCAGCAGAAUGGACAUAGAAACAGCAGUGGUUGAUGAUUGCAUUGAUCCAAAUUUGGAAGUUGUGUGGCAGUAUUACGGAAGUGAGAAGUCCCAAGAUCUGCCAUCUGCAAACUGGAGACCCAGGAAAGCCAGUGGUAUAAUUCUUAGAGAAUGGAUGAAUUCCAGUCCAAGUCUGGAGGCCUGACAACCAGGUCCUCAAUGGAUUGGAUGAUGCCUACGUUGGGGAGGGCAGUCUACUUUACUGAGUCCACCAAUUCAGAUGCUCAUCUCAUCCGGAAACACCCUCAUAGACACACCCAGAAAUGAUGUUUAAUCUGGGCACCCCUUAGCCCAGUCAAGUUGACACAUAAGUUAACCACCACAUCUGUGAAAAACGGAAUCCUGCCAACAACCAUGUGACUGAACUUGGAAGCAGAUCCUUCCCAGUAGAGCCUUCGGAUGAGGUGACAUCCCUGGCCAGCGCCUUGAUUGCGGGCUUGCGAGAGGCCCUGAAGCAGAAGACCCAGCUAAGCCACGCCUGGAUUCCUGAAAAUCCAUCAUCAGGGUUGGGGGCGCGGGGGAAGGACCCAAGGCCACAACAGCUGGAAGAGGUUUUCACUUCCUGCCGGGCAUGGCAGGGCACACUCCCCGAAGACCAGUCCAGAGCUCUCCUUUACAGCCCGGCCCCCAACUCACUGCCUCCGUGAAGCCUUCUCUUCUGCAUCUGCUGCCCCUGCUCCCCCAACAGGCUCUCCUGGUUGCACUGAGAUGUGUGGACAUUGUUUGGCUCCCCUAGAAAAGCACAGGCCCUUUAGGGGGACGGUCCAGAUCUUCUGCAAGUUUGUGACCCCCAUGGUGUCUGCACAGGUAGGUGUUUGUUGACUGAAUCACGAGGGCUUUGGAAUCACUCUUCUCACCAUCAGUGGUGCUUCUCUUCUACCUGCCCAGGGCCUGUCUACAGAGGGCCUUCCCAUCCUCUUCCUGUCUCUUUGGCUCCCCUGCAGGGCCUCCCGGGAGGUUUCCGCUGCCACAGCUGCGUGUGAUGCUUGUGGUGCUGUGAUGGCGGAUACAAGGAGAGACUGUGCCCCCCGGUGAGGCCCACCCCCCACACACACAGGGAGUGACUUGUCCUGUCCUUGGCCUCCUAGACUGCUGUGUCACAGCCAGACCGGGCUGUGGGUGCUCACCGAAGAGAAGCACCCACACAGGGGUGCCAUCUGCCUACAGGAGCCAAAAGCCCUGGGGUGAAGAGCACAGGGUCCUCAGGCCCAGCACCUCCUGCUGUUCGUGGAAGCCAUGGGAGGGGCAAGGGACCGGCAGGAGUGCCGGGGUCUCAGGACUGGAUCUUGCUUGCACAUCCCAAGGGAGUCACUGCACAGGCCUGUGACCCGGAGCCCAGCCCCUGAGAGUGGCGUGGAGUAUCAGGACUCCAUCCCUCCUGUUGAGCAGGAGCUGCAGUCCUGCCGGAUCCUGGUCCCGGCUGAGUUGGCACCGACAAAGGCCCCCUUUCACUCACAGGCUCCCCUAGAUUGUGGGGUUUGAAGCAAGAAUAAUUUUGUCAUCUCACGGUUGGGGUGCAGGGCCCUGCCACUCACAGACACUGCUCCUUUGCCGAGUCCUCCAUGCCUCAGGAUAGGCAUAGUGCAUGGUGAGCUUUUUCCAUAAACUGUAGAUUCACCUUCUUCAUUCAUUUUCCCUCUUCCUGCUGGUUUUAUAACAGAGAAUCGCACCUCCCCCCUCCAAAAAAAAAGUCUUAUCAGUACAAGCGUCUGAGAGAAAACCAAACAUACUCAUGCAUGUUGGUCGGCAGUUUAAGCCUGAUAACACCGUGCUCAGCAACUACAGAGCAGGUGCAUACUCCCUGGUGAGCAAACACUUGAGUUUCAGGGAAAAUCCCUAAUAUCUAUGAGCAUCAUAUGGGGCCAGAAACUCACUUUACCAAACAGAUCAUGAGAGAGUGGCUUUUCACAAUUUGAAGGUAUACUUACUUUAAGAGAUUCUAAAGUUGUUGAAUCCGAGUGACCAUGCAUUUGUUCAUUCUCUUCCCCUGAGUUUUCAGAUACGAGUUUGUAGAAAGUGACUCAUUCUAUCGCACAGCUAAUUAGUGGCCAAGCCUAGGACUUGGGCUCACUCUUUCUGAGCCCCGGACUCUUCAUUUGAGCCUCCCUGGGAUGGAAAGGUUGGCUUCCAGAUUGCUGUUUAAACACUAAGUGGAGGGGGAAGGGUAAACUGGGACGAAGUGAGAGAGCAGCAUGGACAUAUAUACACUACCAAGUGUAAAAUAGUAGGAAGCAGCUGCAUAGCACAGGGAGAUCAGCUCGGUGCUUUGUGACCACCUAGA